rnacentral:lncRNA from 1 species
CCAUUAAACGGCAAAAUAUGUAAUUCUUAGAAUUGUUUUAUCAUUUUGUGAUGUCGGGGAGCCAUAUUAUUAGCUAUCAUCUUAUUAUCUUUUCUUCGAAUACAACAAUUAAUAUCGUCUACCAUACCAAAGAUAUAAAGUGUACGAUUUUAUUUUCUGUUAAACUGCUGCCGACUGUAGACGUCAUAAAUGCAUCAAUUAAUUUACGUAUUUUAACGCAUGUAGCAAAGCAUGCUGAAAAACGAUGGUAGAGUCAGUACUUGGCGCUCGAACUUAGUUUUGAAGUUAUAGCUGUUUGGAGAUCAAGACCCACCCAUUGUGGUUUUACAUACCUAACAAGUCAGAGGAUGUCUUCGAUUUUAAUUAUCCUAGCAAGCGCAACGAGCCGCGAGUGACCACGCUAGUAGUAUAGUGCACAAAACAUGUUUUUAAUAAUUUUGUUUUAACUCAGAAACCUUUUUUUUUAUUUUUUCCAUGUGGUAUCGACGACGUUGCGGGAACUUCUUGUUAAUUUACUUUGGCAACGCCGCCAUCGUUUAUUAAUUUAAUUAAUUAAUAUCAUACAAAUAAUUACAGGACUCUCAGGAAGCUGCAGGCGACUACUUUUCAUUUAUGGAGACUACUUUCCAUUCAACUCCGAAACCUACCCAAGACUUGCGGUUCACUCUGAAAAUAUUCAUUAACAUCGCCACGCUAUUGUCACGAUUUAAGAAGAGAAGUAGGUAUGUAUUUUAAGUUGUAAUGCUGCUCUUAUUAUCCCCCAUCCCUCCUCCCUCUAAAAAAAAAUGAAUCCUGGAAAUUAUUUGAAUACAAAAAUCUUGUAAUAACUUUAAAUAAUAUACAUAAAGAUAAGGUACAAAACGAUUUAUAUGCAUAUUUACAGUGUACAAAAAUAUUGAUAAAAGUAUACAGAAAAUUAAAGACUGAAUAUAGUUUGGAAUUAAGGACAAACAUUUUGUAAUCGUGCUUAUUUGGACUGUGCAACUUAUCUACCAGAAUAUAACAACUAUAAUGGUAGGUAAUAUCAUAGAACAUAAUGGUAAUAUUAUAUGUCUGGCAUAGCGAUAACGCGCCCAGUACUCACAGUCACAAGUCACAAGUCACAAGUCACAAGUCAUUGAAAUCGUAGUCACGUGACCCAUGAUUUUAUCAAAACACGAUCAGACGACUCUUUAAUAUUUGAAUAUAAUAAUUCGCCACAAUCGAAAUGAUCAAUCGUAUACCAGAUAUUUUGCAAUACACCAUUGCAUCACCUCUAGAUUGUAAAAAUAAAAACAAAUUGCUAUUUGAAUUCAAAAUAGGUAUUAAAAUGUAGAAUGAAUUGAAGAGCGACAUUUACAUCAAACGUAUUAUUACACUUAUCUUUAACUUUUAUGAAAAUUAAAACCUCAUUAAACAAAAUAUUAGCUAAUAGCCAUAAUGGUUACAUAUCGCUAUAAUUUUAAAUCGUAGUGUAACAAAUAUAUAUAAACCCACGUAAAUGGUCUGACAUUCCACAACAUAGAUAUUAAAAAUAUUCUGUUAAUAAAAACGAUAAGAAACAUUUAUCUGGUUCAUUGCAAAAUGCAAACAAAUGUUAAAAUAGACAUAAUUAAACAAUUAAUUAAUAC